UACGGAGGGUGCGAGCGUUGUCCGGAAUCACUGGGCGUAAAGGGCGCGCAGGCGGCGCGGCAAGCGUGCGGUGAAAGCCCGGGGCUCAACCCCGGGUCGGCCGUGCGAACUGCCGGGCUCGAGCACUGUAGAGGCGGGUGGAAUUCCGGGUGUAGCGGUGGAAUGCGUAGAGAUCCGGAAGAACACCGAUGGCGAAGGCAGGUCGCUGGGCCACUACUGACGCUGAGAAGCGAAAGCAUGGGGAGCGAACAGG
rnacentral:rRNA from 1 species